AAGGGAUCUUCCCAACUCAGGGAUCAAAAUCGAGUCUCCUGUCUCCUGCAUUGGCAGGGUGCCGUGAGUUAUCACAUUGGGCAUCACUGUCCCCACUCCACAGGAAGGACACUGAAGUUUAGACAGCCUCCAGCUCCGAUGAAACGGUCCACCUCCACCUCUCCCUCUUGGAUUUCGCACCCUGGUUGUGCCUGCAUUUCUCUUGACCAGGCUUUGCGGCUACCUGCAUGUAAUACCACAUGUCUCCAACAGGGGGUUGCUGACAGCAAAGGGAUGGGAUGUAGUUGAAUGGAAAGAUCCCUGGGUUCUAAGUUAACCUCGUCCUUGGUUUCCUCUGUGACCUUGGUUUCCUCAUCCAUAAAAUAAAUAUACUACUUCUGUCUGUCUUCCUCACACAACAGUGGUCAGAAAUGUGAGGAUGAAAAUGAAUAUGGCAGAAGAGGCAGCUCCUGUCACUUUCACACAGCUCUUGUCUGUUUAGCCACUAAGUCAUGUCCGACUCUUUACAACCCCAUGGACUGCAGCACGCCAGGCUUCCCUGUUCUUCACCAUCCUCCA